CUGGUGGCGAGUGGCGAACGGGUGAGUAACAUAUCGGAACGUACCCACGAGCGGGGGACAACGCAGCGAAAGUUGCGCUAAUACCGCAUACGGUCUACGGAAGAAAGCAGGGGACUCGCAAGAGCCUUGUGCUCGUGGAGCGGCCGAUAUCUGAUUAGCUAGUUGGUAGGGUAAAAGCCUACCAAGGCCACGAUCAGUAGCUGGUCUGAGAGGACGACCAGCCACACUGGAACUGAGACACGGUCCAGACUCCUACGGGAGGCAGCAGUGGGGAAUUUUGGACAAUGGGGGCAACCCUGAUCCAGCAAUGCCGCGUGAGUGAAGAAGGCCUUCGGGUUGUAAAGCUCUUUUGUCAGGGAAGAAACGGUGAGUUCUAAUAUAGCUUACUAAUGACGGUACCUGAAGAAUAAGCACCGGCUAACUACGUGCCAGCAGCCGCGGUAAUACGUAGGGUGCAAGCGUUAAUCGGAAUUACUGGGCGUAAAGCGUGCGCAGGCGGUUAUGUAAGACAGAUGUGAAAUGCCCGGGCUCAACCUGGGAACUGCAUUUGUGACUGCAUGGCUAGAGUGUGUCAGAGGGGGGUAGAAUUCCACGUGUAGCAGUGAAAUGCGUAGAUAUGUGGAGGAAUACCGAUGGCGAAGGCAGCCCCCUGGGAUGCCACUGACGCUCAUGCACGAAAGCGUGGGGAGCAAACAGGAUUAGAUACCCUGGUAGUCCACGCCCU
rnacentral:rRNA from 1 species